rnacentral:snRNA from 1 species
UACUUUGGUUUCUCUUCAAAUCGCAUAAAUCUUUUGCUUUUUACUAAAGAUUUCCGUGGAUAGGAAGACCCUCAGAGCACGGCCC